rnacentral:sRNA from 1 species
CCCCGCAGUCUAAAGAGCGAAGUAAUUGACCUAUGGAAUAUUGUAGCCCCUAA